AGUAACGGCGAGUGAAGCGGCAAGAGCUCAAAUUUGAAAUCUGGCUCCUUCGGGAGUCCGAGUUGUAAUUUGGAGAGGAUGCUUCGGGUAUGGCCCCUGUCUAAGUGCCCUGGAACGGGCCGUCGGAGAGGGUGAGAACCCCGUCUGGGACGGGAGGCCAGGCCCGUGUGAAGCUCCUUCGACGAGUCGAGUUGUUUGGGAAUGCAGCUCUAAGUGGGUGGUAAAUUUCAUCUAAAGCUAAAUACUGGCCGGAGACCGAUAGCGAACAAGUAGAGUGAUCGAAAGAUGAAAAGCACUUUGGAAAGAGAGUCAAACAGCACGUGAAAUUGUUGAAAGGGAAGCGCUUGCGGUCAGACUCGCCCCGGGGGGCUCCGUUGGCACUCGUUGCCAGCGUACUCCCUCCCGGGGUGGGCCAGCAUCAGCUCUGGCGGCCGGUGAAAGGUCCCCGGAAGGUAGCACCCUCCGGGGUGUCUUAUAGCCGGGGGCGGAAUACGGCCAGCCGGGGCUGAGGAACGCGCUUCGGCUCGGAUGCUGGCGUAAUGGCCGUAAGCGACCCGUCUUGAAACACGGACCAAGGAGUCUAACAUCUAUGCGAGUGUUUGGGUGGCAAACCCAUACGCGCAGUGAAAGCGAACGGAGGUGGGAACUCCCUCGCGGGGUGCACCAUCGACCGAUCCUGAUGUCUUCGGAUGGAUUUGAGUAAGAGCAUAGCUGUUGGGACCCGAAAGAUGGUGAACUAUGCCUGAAUAGGGCGAAGCCAGAGGAAACUCUGGUGGAGGCUCGCAGCGGUUCUGACGUGCAAAUCGAUCGUCAAAUUUGGGUAUAGGGGCGAAAGACUAAUCGAACCAUCUAGUAGCUGGUUCUGC
rnacentral:rRNA from 1 species